rfam:Saccharomyces cerevisiae Vin13 chromosome VI, whole genome shotgun sequence.
ACGUGGGUUUUUUUUUCGAAUUGAGUGAUUAUGCAACCAUACAGGAACCUUACAUAAGCGCAAGUAGUUGAAUAGUGGAUUCAAGAAGCAAAACUUUACUACCGGUAAAAACAUUAGAACGAAAUAAAAGUGCUGAAUCUUAAAAGUAAAAAUAUAUACUUGGAUAAGAAUUCCCAGGGAAACUGGGUACCUCGUUUUCCUGUUGCACUAUUUUUUUAGAUUCUUUCUUGAUUUUUUACCAAUCGCCUGAUGAAAAUACCUUCCAGAGCAGAGAACAACAGUAGAAGUAUGCUGAAAAAGUUAGUAUGAGAAGUUUGAAUUGUUUAGAUAAUAUAAAAGUGACAUCUAAUAUGACUAAUAUAAAAAUAGUAAGUAUGGUAAUCAAAAAAAAGAUACAAACAAUGUAUAUAUAUAAAGGAAAAAUAACCUGCGAAUAUUGAGAAAAA